AGGGGUGUCGUUCAACGGUAGGAUUUCAGUCUCCAAAACUGAAUAUGAAGGUUCGACUCCUUCCACCCCUG
rnacentral:tRNA from 1 species